GAGGUGGGAGGAUCGCUUGAGCCAAGGAGGUUGAGGCUGCAGUGAGCUGUGAUUGCACCACUGCACUCCAGCCUGGGUGACAGAGCAAGACCUUGUCACA
rnacentral:miRNA from 1 species